ACCGCCGACAAGCUGCAUGGGGUAGGAGGUCAUCCUUUUCAAGGCUUGUCACUCUUUGUUUCCAGGUUUCAGCUCGCUGUGAAAAAGAGCAGAGCAGAGGCCGCCGCAGAAAGGAACGCUGCAGUGGCGCGGAAGAUGAGUAGAGGGGGCACUGCCGGCAGGCUGCUACAGAAGCGGAAGACACUUCCCCCCUCCAUGCUGCUGCAAUACCAGGCAGGCUCAAGGCAGCAAGAUGUGGCAAAGAAGCCUUCUGCCAGGAGCUCCGGGAAGUGUCUGCCCUGUGGAAUGAAGCAGACCGCACGUGGCCCGUGU